rnacentral:rRNA from 1 species
AUGGCGCCGCCUCCCAAGGACAUGCCAGUAAGACGCCCACGAGAGGUAGAAGAAGAAGUCAGUACACUGGAGCCACCUGAAAUUGAAGCUUACGUUCUGCCAAGGCUAGAGAUGAGGUUUGAAACUUUCAAAGAAAUAAAGAACUUCUACAACGUAUAUGCAAAGCACGCGGGUUUUGCUGUCAGGGAAGGCCCCAAGUUUAAGACUAGAGCCUACCUUUAUUGCACGUGCCAUGGAGUUUAUGAAUCCAAGGUGUCUGAAGCAAAUAGACAGCAUAACAACACGACAGCCAGAACUAACUACGGGGCUAAAAUGAGGAUGAAGAAGGAAAAGGAUGGAACAUUUGUCGUAAAAGAGAUAGUCUGGGAACACAACCACAUGCUACAGCUCACCGCAGAAAUGCUUGUGUUGUUGCACUCCCACAAAAACUUUGACAAAACAAUCUUGGAGUAUGUCAAGUACCUACAGUUCAAAGGCAUUGAACACGUGCAAAUCAUGAGCAUACUCGGCGGUGAUGACCCUGACCAGUGCCCAGCAAUGGCUUUGGCGAUCGUAGAUGUUUUCAAGAACACAGUACAUAAGCUAUGCCGCUGGCACAUUAUGAAGAAGUACAGGGAACACCUCACAUACCUAUAUUACCUGCACAUUGACUUUAAGGAUGAAUUCACAUCAAUGCUCAACUGGCCCCUCAUGCCAACUGAGUUUGAGGAUGCCUGGAACCUCAUGGAUAAGUACAACCUCCAUGAUGAUGCCACAAUGGUGGGCAUGUGGAACGAGCAUGAGAGAUGGAUAUCAGCCUACUUCAAAGAAAUUUUUUGCGCCAAAAUGACAUCCACACAGCAAAGUGAGAGCAUGAACUAUGUGCUCAAGAAGAACUACAAGGAACAAAACACGCUGACCUUCUAUGGGUUUGACACCCAGAUGGCAAAGCUGUACACACGAGCUGUGUACAGCAAGAUCAGAAAUAGGCUAAAACUGAGCACACUCUUCACGGCGACAGAGACGGAAGAGUCCACAAAGUACCUCGUGCGCUACAACCACCCGCAAAAACUGUCUAUGUGGGCUCAGCACACGUUCCAGGUGGUUGCAAACCCCGUGGGAGAAACAUAUGAGUGCGAGUCCAGGCUAUGGGACCACACAGGUCUUUUCUGCAUGCAUGUCCUCUGCAUGAUGCAGACAAUUAAGGCUACCAGCGUUCCAGAGAAAUACAUCCUUAGGAGAUACACCAAACACCCGAACAUCCAGCCAACAUUUGACAGAAAUGACUUGAGGACAAUAGCGUCAAACAAGGCAUCCCAAUACUGCAUUGAAAGCUCACUGUUUACGCUGAACAUGAGGGUGCACAGAAAAAGCUUGAGAAGCCAAGAGCAACUGGUGAGGUCGCGGGUCGUCAUGGACAAACUUGAACAAGAACUCGACGCCAUGCAUUCCGCUGAAAAUGGAGGUGUCGCGGACAAUGAAGCCAUUGAGCAGGAUAUUGCAACAAUGUUAUCCGAGAUGAACCAUCUGGGAGCUAUUGACACGUUUGACAAUGAGGAAGAGGAGCAGCAGCAACCGGAGCUUGCCCAUCAGCAGGAAAGGGUGAUUAAACCACCCAUAUUCUCAAACACAAAGGGGAGGAAGAGCAAGACGCAAGAUGCGAAAGCAUCAGCCAAAAAGCCACCACGCCCCAUCAAGCGCGUGGAAUUUGGCCCGGACGGCAAACCUCUCGGGAUAAGGGCAUGCGGAUUCUGCAACGUCGUGAGCAACCAUAACUACUGCACAUGCCCACUCUGCACAGAUGCCACUGUCAACAAGAACAAGCAGAUUGGAGCCACCCAGCUUUCUACCAAUGGAGACAACACACGUAACAACUACACUUUUCGCAAGUGUGGGGGAACUGACGGACAUAAUGCCCGCACGUGCAAAGUGGAGGCCAGUGGAGCUGAACAGAAACAGGGCAAGGUACAGAGUUCUAAGCAAUCAAAUGAAGAUGAUGAAGAAGAAGAGUUUGACGAGAAUGACGACCAAUCAUACGAAGACAAUGAAGAUGACAGUGUCGGGGGCGAGGAAACUGAAACUGACGAUGAAGCUGCCAAGGCUCAACCAGGAAAGGGCGUCGGCAAGGCACAACAUUCGGGGACAGUUAGGAGGAGCUCAAGACUGAAUAAUACAUAG